AUUGAACGCUGGCGGCAUGCUUUACACAUGCAAGUCGAACGGCAGCGCGGGCUUCGGCCUGGCGGCGAGUGGCGAGCGGGUGAGUAAUACAUCGGAACGUGCCCAGUAGUGGGGGAUAGCUCGGCGAAAGCCGGAUUAAUACCGCAUACGACCUGAGGGUGAAAGCGGGGGAUCUUCGGACCUCGCGCUAUUGGAGCGGCCGAUGGCAGAUUAGCUAGUUGGUGGGGUAAAGGCCUACCAAGGCGACGAUCUGUAGCUGGUCUGAGAGGACGACCAGCCACACUGGGACUGAGACACGGCCCAGACCCCUACGGGAGGCAGCAGUGGGGAAUUUUGGACAAUGGGCGAAAGCCUGAUCCAGCAAUGCCGCGUGUGUGAUGAAGGCCUUCGGGUUGUAAAGCACUUUUGGCGGGAACGAAAAGGACUGUGCCAAUACCACGGUUCGAUGACGGUACCCGCAGAAUAAGCACCGGCUAACUACGUG
rnacentral:rRNA from 1 species